GUCCACGCCGUAAACGAUGUGGAUUAGGUGUUUGUGCCUUUGAGCCGUGGAUUCCGGAGUUAACCCCUUAAGUCACCCGCCUGGGGGGUACGGCCGCAAGGUUAAAAUUUAAAUGAAUUGAAGGGGGCCCGCCACAGCGGUGGAGCUUUUGGUUUAAUUUGGUGCAAAGGGAAGAACCUUACCUGGCUUUUACAUUCAUAGAAAUUCGCAAGAAUUUUUUGGUGCCUUCGGGAAUUAUAAGACAGGCUUUUCAUGGCUGUUGUCAGCUUGUGUUGUGAAUUUUUGGGUUAAGUCCCGCAACGAGCGCAACCCUUAUCCUUGGUUUCGAGCGGUUGGGCCGGGAAUUCAAAGCAGACUGCCGGUGAUAAACCGGAGGAAGGUGGGGAUGAGGUCAAGUCAUCAUGCCCCUUACGGCCAGGGCUACACACGUGGUACAAUGGCCA
rnacentral:rRNA from 1 species